rnacentral:misc_RNA from 1 species
UCCGAGUUGACCCCGGCAGUCUCCUAUGAGUCCCCACCAUCACGUGCUGGCAACAUAGAACGAGGGUUGCGCUCGUUGCGGGACUUAACCCAACAUCUCACGACACGAGCUGACGACAGCCAUGCAUCACCUGUGCACCGGCCCCGAAGGGCUGCCGUAUUUCUACGACAUUCCGGUGCAUGUCAAGCCCUGGUAAGGUUCUUCGCGUUGCGUCGAAUUAAACCACAUAAUCCACCGCUUGUGCGGGUCCCCGUCAAUUCCUUUGAGUUUUAACCUUGCGGCCGUACUCCCCAGGCGGUCAACUUCACGCGUUAGCUUCGUUACCAAGGAAUUGCUUCCCCGACAAUCAGUUGACAUAGUUUAGGGCGUGGACUAC